rnacentral:rRNA from 1 species
CAGCAGCCGCGGGAAUACAGAGGGUGCGAGCGUUAAUCGGAUUUACUGGGCGUAAAGCGUGCGUAGGCGGCUUCUUAAGUCGGAUGUGAAAUCCCUGAGCUUAACUUAGGAAUUGCAUUCGAUACUGGGAAGCUAGAGUAUGGGAGAGGAUGGUAUAAUUCCAGGUGUAGCGGUGAAAUGCGUAGAGAUCUGGAGGAAUACCGAUGGCGAAGGCAGCCAUCUGGCCUAAUACUGACGCUGAGGUACGAAAGCAUGGGGAGCAAACAGGAUUAGAGACCCCCGUAGUCCCUGUCUCUUAUAC